UACGAAGGGGGCGAGCGUUGUUCGGAGUUACUGGGCGUAAAGGGCGCGUAGGCGGUUUUUCAAGUCAGAUGUGAAAGCCCCGGGCUUAACCUGGGAAUGGCAUUUGGGACUGGAAGGCUUGAGAUCGGGAGAGGUGAGUGGAAUUCCCAGUGUAGAGGUGAAAUUCGUAGAUAUUGGGAAGAACACCGGUGGCGAAGGCGGCUCACUGGACCGACACUGACGCUGAGGCGCGAAAGCGUGGGGGAGCAAACAGG
rnacentral:rRNA from 1 species